CCUACGGGGGGCAGCAGUCGAGAAUCAUUCACAAUGGGGGAAACCCUGAUGGGGCGACGCCGCGUGGGGGAAUGAAGGUCUGCGGAUUGUAAACCCCUGUCAUGUGGGAGCAAAUUAAAAAGAUAGUACCACAAGAGGAAGAGACGGCGAACGCUGUGCCAGCAGCCGCGGUAAGACAGAGGUCUCAAGCGUUGGUCGGAAUAACUGGGCGUAAAGCGUGCGUAGGCUGUUUCGUAAGUCGUGUGUGAAAGGCGCGGGCUCAACCCGCGGACGGCCCAUGAUACUGCGAGACUAGAGUACUGGAGGGGGAACCGGAAUUCUCGGUGUAGCCGUGACAUGCGUAGAUAUCGAGAG
rnacentral:rRNA from 1 species